GACGAACGCUGGCGGCGUGCCUAAUACAUGCAAGUAGAACGCACAGUUUAUACCGUAGCUUGCUACACCAUAGACUGUGAGUUGCGAACGGGUGAGUAACGCGUAGGUAACCUGCCUGGUAGCGGGGGAUAACUAUUGGAAACGAUAGCUAAUACCGCAUAAUAUUAAUUAUUGCAUGAUAAUUAAUUGAAAGGUGCAAUUGCAUCACUACCAGAUGGACCUGCGUUGUAUUAGCUAGUAGGUGAGGUAACGGCUCACCUAGGCGACGAUACAUAGCCGACCUGAGAGGGUGAUCGGCCCCACUGGGACUGAGACACGGCCCAGACUCCUACGGGAGGCAGCAGUAGGGAAUCUUCGGCAAUGGACGAAAGUCUGACCGAGCAACGCCGCGUGAGUGAAGAAGGUUUUCGGAUCGUAAAGCUCUGUUGUAAGAGAAGAACGGGUGUGAGAGUGGAAAGUUCACACUGUGACGGUAUCUUACCAGAAAGGGACGGCUAACUACGUG
rnacentral:rRNA from 1 species